GGAAUCUUCGGCAAUGGGGGCAACCCUGACCGAGCAACGCCGCGUGAGUGAAGAAGGUUUUCGGAUCGUAAAGCUCUGUUGUAAGAGAAGAACGUNUGUGAGAGUGGAAAGUUCACACAGUGACGGUAACUUACCAGAAAGGGACGGCUAACUACGUGCCAG
rnacentral:rRNA from 1 species